GGUACUGGGGAUUGAACUCGGGACCUUUCACUUUUGAGACAGACGGCCACACUACUGAGUAUGCUGAGAAAGCCAUGUUUUGAGGAGCACUGAAAAAUACCUUGAAUGUCUGAUCAUGCAUAAGUGGUGCAUUACAAGCAGGCUACAUGGACAAGAAAUGCUCAUUUAAGGACAGCUCUAUUGCUGGACAUGAGAGAUUGGAGCCAAUGGUUCUACAGGAAAUGGAGUCACUACAAAUCCAGGAUGGAAUUUGGGGUUUGGAGUUAGGGCGAUGCUCCAGAAGAAAAUGACUUGACUGUAUUUGGAUACAUGUAAAUCUUUGUAUGUGAAUAAAUGUAGGUUUUUUUGUACGUG